ACUGAAGCUCAAAAUAGACGAGGGACGUCUGAUCUCGUAAGCUAAGCAGGGUUGGGCCUGGUUAGUACUUGGAUGGGAGACCACCUAGGAAGACCAGGU
rnacentral:rRNA from 1 species